CCCUGAUGCAGCCAUGCCGCGUGUGUGAAGAAGGCCUUCGGGUUGUAAAGCACUUUCAGUCGUGAGGAAAGGUUAAUGGUUAAUACCCAUUAGCUGUGACGUUAGCGACAGAAGAAGGACCGGCUAACUCCGUGCCAGCAGCCGCGGUAAUA
rnacentral:rRNA from 1 species